rnacentral:rRNA from 1 species
CAAACUUGGUCAUUUAGAGGAAGUAAAAGUCGUAACAAGGUCUCCGUUGGUGAACCAGCGGAGGGAUCAUUACCGAGUUAUACAACUCAUCAACCCUGUGAACAUACCUAAAACGUUGCUUCGGCGGGAACAGACGGCCCUGUAACAACGGGCCGCCCCCGCCAGAGGACCCCUAACUCUGUUUUUAUAAUGUUUUUCCGAGUAAACAAGCAAAUAAAUUAAAACUUUCAACAACGGAUCUCUUGGCUCUGGCAUCGAUGAAGAACGCAGCGAAAUGCGAUAAGUAAUGUGAAUUGCAGAAUUCAGUGAAUCAUCGAAUCUUUGAACGCACAUUGCGCCCGCCAGUAUUCUGGCGGGCAUGCCUGUUCGAGCGUCAUUACAACCCUCAGGCCCCCGGGCCUGGCGUUGGGGAUCGGCGGAAGCCCCCUGUGGGCACACGCCGUCCCUCAAAUACAGUGGCGGUCCCGCCGCAGCUUCCAUUGCGUAGUAGCUAACACCUCGCAACUGGAGAGCGGCGCGGCCAUGCCGUAAAACACCCAACUUCUGAAUGUUGACCUCGAAUCAGGUAGGAAUACCCGCUGAACUUAAGCAUAUCAAUAAGCGGAGG